rnacentral:Y_RNA from 1 species
GGCUGGUCCAAAGGUAGUGAGGUAUUUCAGUUGGUUGUUCACAGUCAUUUACAGAUCGAGCUCCUUGUUCUACCCUUUCCCCCCUUCCUUCUACUGCACUUGACUAGUCUUUA